AUUGAACGCUGGCGGCAGGCUUAACACAUGCAAGUCGAGCGGAGAUGAGGUGCUUGCACCUUAUCUUAGCGGCGGACGGGUGAGUAAUGCUUAGGAAUCUGCCUAUUAGUGGGGGACAACAUUCCGAAAGGAAUGCUAAUACCGCAUACGUCCUACGGGAGAAAGCAGGGGAUCUUCGGACCCUGCGCUAAUAGAUGAGCCUAAGUCAGAUUAGCUAGUUGGUGGGGUAAAGGCCUACCAAGGCGACGAUCUGUAGCGGGUCUGAGAGGAUGAUCCGCCACGCUGGGACUGAGACACGGCCCAGACUCCUACGGGAGGCAGCAGUGGGGAAUAUUGGACAAUGGGCGAAAGCCUGAUCCAGCCAUGCCGCGUGUGUGAAGAAGGCCUUUUGGUUGUAAAGCACUUUAAGCGAGGAGGAGGCUACUUAGAUUAAUACUCUAGGAUAGUGGACGUUACUCGCAGAAUAAGCACCGGCUAACUCUGUGCCAGCCGCCGCAGUAAAAC
rnacentral:rRNA from 1 species